UACGAAGGGUGCAAGCGUUAAUCGGAAUUACUGGGCGUAAAGCGUGCGUAGGCGGUUUGUUAAGUCUGUUGUGAAAUCCCCGGGCUCAACCUGGGAAUGGCAAUGGAUACUGGCAGGCUAGAGUGUGUCAGAGGAUGGUGGAAUUCCCGGUGUAGCGGUGAAAUGCGUAGAUAUCGAGAGGAACACCUGCGGCGAAGGCGGGUUGCUGGGCUGACACUGACGCUGAUGUGCGAAAGCCAGGGGAGCGAACGGG
rnacentral:rRNA from 1 species